rnacentral:tRNA from 1 species
GAAACUUAUAGGUUUAUCUUAAGCCUGCUAAGCCCAAAGAUUUGCGGUUCAAUUCCGUUGAAGUUUCG